UAAUCAUAAAGACAAUAUAAAUCUUUUACAGUGUCUAUGGUGCUAACUAAUGCUUUGUCAGCAAUAUGAAAGUGGACAUAUUCCAAGUAAUAUGGGAUAACUACGUCUUGCACUUAAAUGUUUAUCACAACAUUUUUAGCUUGAUUUAAACAGUUAGUGUCUAUGGUUAUCUUUUUAAAAUGUGGUUAGCAAUACAGUCUUUAUGAGUCUGGCUCCUGCUCUUGAACUGUCAGAAUUUUAUCAUCCGAACUCAUCAUGUUUACACUUUUCUUCUCCAGUUGGUUUAGCACAUGUUCAUUAGUGAAGGUAGUGAAUGUAGAUGAAUUUUAAAAACUGGGGUUAACCAUCCAAAGCAACAUAUAUUGUGACAGAAGGAUAGCAGCAAAAGUUAAAAUAACGCUUUAUAAGAUGGGUGUAUGGCCUGUUAAGAUGUUUGGAGGUCUGGAGACGGUGGCACUGACAGAAAGACAGAAAGCAGAGUUGAAGAUCUUAAGAUUUACUUAGGGAGUGAUCUCAAAGCACAUAACCAGAAAUGAGUACAUCAGAAGGACACCUCAGACUGAGUGGACAAAGUGAGAGAAACCAGGCUGAUUGUGUGGACAGGUGCAAAGGAGAGACAGUGGAUAUAUUGGACAAAGGAAGUUGAAGAUGGAGCUGUCAGGCAUAAGGAAAAGACAAAGACCACAGUGAAGGAGGACAUGUGACAGAGGGGGACGCUCGCAAUAGGCUCCAGACCGCCCAGGCAGGGCGCUCAAGCCCCUUCCGCCCUCACCUCUGCACGUGCCUGUGGGGAGCAGAUGCCUCUCUGCCUGACAGAUAUAUUGUUAGGCUCUGUCCCCACUCUCUUCAGUCUUGUGCAAGGGACAACUGAUAGAUUUUAUACUUGUGAGCAAAGACAACGAGUAGCAUUGUGUUCAACAUGAAGCUGAGAUAAAUAGUCUGGAGCUUGUCCAUUAAGUGCUCUGUAUGCAAGUGUGAGAAUUUGAAGACAUAAAUAAUAUUAAAUACAGCCUCUGUAUUGAUCUUUGAUUCAGCUUGUUGUUGACGUGACUACCCAGGUACUUCACUACUUCACUACUGUCACUACAGUGGACAGCUAUUCAAAGGCUGUUUUCUUGUAUUUGUCUCAGUGUUGAUGGUAUACUUGCACAUAAACCACUACAUUGGACACUGAUGUGUCACUCCAUACCCUGCCACCCACUGGACAUGUAAAAAACUCUUUGAAGUACAUGUUUUAAAAAAUGUUCAAAAAUCUUUUUUUCAUGCCUAAAGAUGAAAAAAAAUACUUAUAGGUUGUCAUAAUUCAUGCAUAAAAGGGUUAAAUAUAUUAUACCCCUUGCCCGUGUUGUGGAAGUUUUUCCACUUAAAUAAAGCCUGCAGAUGAGCGGUGAGCGGUAGCCAACAUUCUUUAAUCCAAAGCACACAGAGACAACGGACAACCAAGCUUGGUGGAGAGCCUGCAGGACCACGGGGCAGGGUCAGCAGAGUCUCACUGAGCCUUAGCAUGGCUCUCAUUUAAAUACCUUCUCCAGGAACAAAAGGCAGUACACAGCUGUUUCACACUUUAAGGUUCACACUCCCUUGCUACCUCCCAGAGUCCUUGCAGAGACAAAAGACUCUUCCUGUGAAGUGGUCUGCUCCCCCCCAACUUCCCUCUUACAGUAUGGGUGUCAGACAUGUUAAAAUCCAGUGGCACCAAGGCAUAAUACAAUAAAAUAAUGUGAUUAGUACAUCAGUUGAAAGAAAUUCCUAUACAAUCGCAAUGCAACUUCUGCAUGCAUGUCCAUUUCACGUUUUGGAGAGGUGAAGUGUGAAAUGUACAUGGUGGACUGGCGUAUCUAUUACACAUUUUGCCAUGCUGUGAGCAUAGAAAUCAAGAAUCAACUACCAUAUUAUUUAAGUCAAAUUGUAGAAUCAUCCAUGUUUUAUUUAUUGCCCACUCAUUGUCAGUAGUGUAGUUGGAGUUUGGGUGCCCCCUAGAAUCCAAGAAAUAUAUUAUUAUUUGAGGUUCAAAGCUGCUUUUUACCUGUCCAUUUUGAGACAAUAAAAAGUAAUAUUCUUUAAAUUCUAUUCCUAAAAUUAAAAUCACAAUUCAAUUUCACGUGAAUAAUAUACAAUCUUUUGAUUUGACUAAAGCAGAACAAUAUUUAAAGAAAAGUUAAGGUCUCCACUUGUCUCAAAAGGCCUUCUGUUUUUUGUUUUUUGUUUUUUUUUGGCUGUAUUAUGCUUUUAAAAAUAUCAAAAUCCAUAGUGGGAUUACUACAAAAACAAACAAGAAGCACUCUGAGAAUGCAAAUCUGUAUUGUAUUUUAUCUCUAUUAAUAUUCAUUGCAGAUGCAGACAUGGAAAGCUGGAGUCUGUGUUGGGAUCGCCAAGUAGCUGUUCCUGGUUCUCCAGCUGUCGUGCCUGUGUAGUUGGUGCACUGUCCCACAACAACACUCAUGUUCAAGAUUUACAAAGGGCCAGAUACCUACAUUCAAGCUACCUUCUCAUAACAGCACAGUGAUACAGAAUUUUAGGAUUUGUUUUAAUAAUGCACAAAAAUAUUACAACUUAACUCUUAAAAAUGUUAAUCAAGAAACUGGGUUUUAUGAUGUGCAGUGCUUUAAUUUGCUUCUCUUGCUAUCUAUGCAUUUUUUCUCAGUAGCCGAUGUCUGAUACCUUCACAGGUGUUGAAUAAACAAAUGUUUGACCCUCACACAGAGCAGCUGUGCACGUCAAAUAAUAAGUGCCACAACUUUCAAUGUGUUAAUGCAUCAACUUCACUUG
ensembl:lncRNA